GAUGAACGCUAGCGGGAGGCUUAACACAUGCAAGUCGAGGGGCAGCAUAGGGUAGCAAUACUCUGAUGGGCGACCGGCAAACGGGUGAGUAACGCGUAUGCAACCUACCCUGUACAGGGGGAUAACCCGGAGAAAUUCGGACUAAUAUCCCGUAAUAAUAUCCGGAGGCAUCUUUGGAUAUUUAAAGUUCCGACGGUACGGGAUGGGCAUGCGUAACAUUAACUGGUUGGUAAGGUAACGGCUUACCAAGGCUAUGAUGUUUAGGGGUCCUGAGAGGGUGGUCCCCCAACUGGUACUGAGACACGGACCAGACUCCUACGGGAGGCAGCAGUGAGGAAUAUUGGUCAAUGGGCGCAAGCCUGAACCAGCCAUCCCGCGUGCAGGAAGACGGCCCUAUGGGUUGUAAACUGCUUUUCCAGGGAGAGAAACUUACGCACGUGUUGCGUGACUGACGGUACCCUGGGAAUAAGCAUCGGCUAACUCCGUG
rnacentral:rRNA from 1 species